rnacentral:rRNA from 1 species
GGACUACAAGGGUUUCUAAUCCUGUUUGCUCCCCACGCUUUCGCGUCUCAGCGUCAGUAUCCGUCCAGAUAGCCGCCUUCGCCACCGGUGUUCCUCCCCAUAUCUACGAAUUUCACCUCUACUUGGGGAAUUCCGCCAUCCUCUCCGGUACUCGAGCCAUGCAGUUUCGGGCGCACUUCCUCAGUUAAGCUGAGGGCUUUCACACCCGACUUGCAAAGCCGCCUACACGCGCUUUACGCCCAAUAAUUCCGAACAACGCUUGCACCCUCUGUAUUACCGCGGCUGCUGGCAC